GACGAACGCUGGCGGCAUGCCUAAUACAUGCAAGUCGAACGCUGAAGCACCCUGCUUGCAGAGUGCGGAUGAGUGGCGCACGGGUGAGUAACACGUGGGGAAUCUGCCUAUAAGUGGGGGAUAACAUUCGGAAACGGAUGCUAAUACCGCAUAUAUUCUUGGACCGCCUGGUCCUUGAAAGAAAGACGGCUUUGCUGUCGCUUCUAGAUGAUCCCGCGGCGUAUUAGUUAGUUGGUGGGGUAAAGGCCUACCAAGACAAUGAUACGUAGCCGACCUGAGAGGGUGAUCGGCCACACUGGGACUGAGACACGGCCCAGACUCCUACGGGAGGCAGCAGUAGGGAAUCUUCCACAAUGGGCGAAAGCCUGAUGGAGCAAUGCCGCGUGAAUGAAGAAGGUCUUCGGAUCGUAAAGUUCUGUUAUUAGAGAAGAACAAGUCAAGGAAUAACUGUCUUGACUUUGACGGUACCUAACCAGAAAGUCACGGCUAACUACGUG
rnacentral:rRNA from 1 species